CUACGGGUGGCACCAGUGAGGAAUAUUGCACAAUGGGGGGAACCCUGAUGCAGCAACGCCGCGUGGAGGAUGACGCAUUUCGGCGUGUAAACUCCUUUUAUAUGUCAAGAAAAUGACGGUAGCAUAUGAAUAAGCACCGACUAACUCCGUGCCAGCAGCCGCGGUAAUACGGAGGGUGCAAGCGUUACUCGGAAUCACUGGGCGUAAAGGACGCGUAGGCGGGUUGGAAAGUCAGGUGUGAAAUCCUACAGCUUAACUGUAGAACUGCACUUGAAACUUCUAAUCUAGAGUAUGGGAGGGGGAGAUGGAAUUAGUGGUGUAGGGGUAAAAUCCGUAGAUAUCACUAGGAAUACCUAAAGCGAAGGCGAUCUCCUGGAACAUUACUGACGCUAAGGCGUGAAAGCGUGGGGAGCAAACAGGAUUAGAUUACCCCCGUAGUC
rnacentral:rRNA from 1 species